CAUGCUGCUUCUCGGCCAAUCCAUAUACACUGUAUAUGAACCUAAACCUACUUGAGAUUAUCACAACACAAGCAAAGCGAAGCUAUUAUCGGACAUAGCACCACAAGAAUUGAUGACAAAAUUUCUCAUUCCAAGCAAAAAAAAAAAGGUUUGGUUGUGGAAGCACGAACAUUUUAUACAUAGAGGUCUGAUGUCUCCUUCAAAGAAU